ensembl:lncRNA
GUAGCUGUCUACAUGCUUCGUGCCUGGUCUGUGUCACGGCACAGGCAAUAGAGACUUGUUGGGAAAGCCUGAAGACAACCUACUGCAGCCUACAGAGUGGUGAGGCGCUGGCAGUGCUGCCCAGAGAAGCUGUGGGCGUCCCAUCCCUAGAGGUGCUCAAGGCUGAGUUGGAUGGGGCCCUGGGCAGCCUGAGCUCAUAGGGGGCAGCUGGCCCAUGGCAGGGGAUUGGAACUGGAUGAUCUUUAAGGUCCCCUCCAACCUAAGCCAUUCUAUGAUUCUGCAGCAGUGCUGUUUGGAGAGUUGCUUACCUACGGAUUGGGUGCUGCUGAUGGCAGCUGGAGACCUAGCUGAAGGCAAGCACAGGGAAUUGUUUUACCUGGGCCCUGCAGGUGAAUGAUACAGAAACAAAGAGGGACAAAAAUUUGAAGAGGUGCGUCGGGGAAAGGAAGGAACUGCAAUGUGAACAGCUGGAACCGUCUACGAAAGUCAACCCAAGCACCUCUUCCAACACCUGGGGCUACGGGUGACCUUCUAGGCUUUGCUGUUACACCAUUUCAGGAGCCCUCCUUCCCCCUGGGGCUGGCUCUGCUUGGAAGCGGCGGAGAGCCUAAAUAGAUCUGUGCUCUGUGGCUGCAGCUCUGCACACAGAGGUGACGAGAGCACGGUGUGAAGUGUCAGCUGUCGGGAAGAUGGCACAGAAGUCCCCUUUCCUUACCCUGCAAGACGUGCUGGCUGACACCUCCCGCUGAGCAGCCUUCCCUGCAGGAACGGCAGUCCUCUCGCGUUACUCUGGGGACACAACGCCUCGGUGCUGAUGGGACCAGACAGGAUCCGUCACUGUGCUGAUGUGUCUCCUCCACAAAAUAUCCUCAAUGACACCAGAGUCUGAGAAACAAGGAACAAAGAACAAACAAACAAACAACAAAAAAAUAUCUGCUCCCUUUGCUCCCCCUCCGGUCAUCCA